rnacentral:rRNA from 1 species
ACGAACGCUGGYGGCGUGCUUAACACAUGCAAGUCGAACGAUGAAGCCGCUUCGGUGGUGGAUUAGUGGCGAACGGGUGAGUAACACGUGGGCAAUCUGCCCUUCACUCUGGGACAAGCCCUGGAAACGGGGUCUAAUACCGGAUAUGACACACGACCGCAUGGUCUGUGUGUGGAAAGCUCCGGCGGUGAAGGAUGAGCCCGCGGCCUAUCAGCUUGUUGGUGGGGUAAUGGCCUACCAAGGCGACGACGGGUAGCCG